GUCAAGAUGGCCGAGUGGUUAAGGCGCCAGACUUAAAUUCUGGUCUUCGAGAAAGGCGUGGGUUCGAACCCCACUCUUGACA
rnacentral:tRNA from 1 species